rnacentral:lncRNA from 1 species
AGGAAGACACCAGAGAAGUACACAGGGUUAAAAGGGACGUGGGUGACGUGACCAUUCUCAUUAACAACACUGGGGUCAUCACGGGAAAGCAGUUUCUCGACACUCCAGACCACAUGGUGGAAAGAACAUUUCAUACAAAUGCCCUGUCUCACUUCUGGGUAAGUCUUCUUUCCUUUUCAUUUCCUUUUGUUGAUGGAUAUGAAAAGUGUGUGUAUUUCAACAAGCAACUGGUCAACUAUGUAUCUGUCAGUAUACCAUUAAUGUGUUUCCACUGACUGACAAAUAGACCCUUAACCUACCCAGGUUUCACCUUGCCACACACUCCACUUUGUUUCUCCCAUUCUUGCCUGACUCCAAAUUCUCAGGGCAGGGAUCUUCCCUCUACCCUCUCUAGUUUUGUCCCAAGACUCAGUAGGUUCCUCGAAAUCCUGCUACCAAAAUACAAACGGAAUAUGACAGCCAUUACACAGGAAAGAUUUAAUUUGUUCAUGAGUAAAAGCAGGGCUUGUGCACAGGAAGGAGGGGGCUGUUUUCAGAGUGGCAGUUUCUGCCCACACGCAACUGGGUAUCACAACAAAGGAAAUCAUGGGGAGAGGAAGAAUUAUCAACAUCCAUUAGCUCUUAACUAUAUACCAGGCACUGCUCUAAGUUCUUUCUGUGCAGGGUUGCCAUGACACUAUUUUCAUUGUCACUUUUACAAGUGAGCAAACUUGAGGUGCAAAGGGUUUAAGUGAUUUAUCCAAGGUCCCUCAACUGCUAAGGGAUGGCCCAAGGUUACAAAGGGAAGAAGCAAGACUCUUUACAGCAGGAAAAUUAGUACAUUUGUAACUCAGGAGCAUCUUUCUUAAGGGUUGGAGUGUCUAGACCAGGGCUGUCUCCUAGAACUAUCUGUGAUGAUGGACGUGUUCUUUUUCUGUGCUUCCCAAUAUGGUAGCCCCUGGUCACUUGUGGCUACUGAGCACUUGCAAUGUGUGUGGUCAGUGGGAUUGAGGAGCUAAACUUUUAAUUUCAUGGCAUUAAAUUAUUUCAAUGUAUAUUUAAAUAGCCAUGUACACAUAGAGGCUGUCAUCUUGGACAAUGCAUCUCCAGGAAAUGGAUAGGAAACCAAACAUACUUGAGUUGCUAGAGGAGUCUCCACCCAGAGGGCUUAUACUUGAAGCGAUGAUGGAAUGAACAGGGACUGGCAGUGAUGGGGCCCACAGGAGGCUCAGGAACCCGGAGCCAGGCUUCAGGAACCAUGAGGAAGGGCCCUCGGCCCUCUGUGGCUCUGAGGAUAGGGCCAUGGGAUACACUAGCUUUAGGCACCCAGGCUCCUUCUUACUCCUCACUCUUCGAGGUCCUCAGGACUACUUUCUUGAUCUUCUCUUGGGAACCUUCAUUGGAGUCCAACAAUAUGGACUGAGCACCUAGCACAAUGCUUGACAUUCAGUAGGUAUUCCAUAAACAUAGGCGAAAAUCACUGAUUUCUUUCCCUCCCUCACCCUACCCCAAAGCUUCUUUGGGGAAGAGGAAUUGCCAUCUUGGCAA